AAAUGUUACUUUCAGUAUUCUCACUCAAACUAUGAAGAAGAGCUUUAUUAGGGAAGAUGUGUAUCUUGCGGACCAAGUAAUAUAGACGGUAAAGCCCAAAUUUUUUGUUUUUCAUGACGAGAGAAAAAACAAUCCUUUUUCGUCUUAAGUCUUAAAAAGAAAAAAGUUCUUCCUCUCAUCCAUUGUCCCUCUUUCCAUUAACCCUAAAUCUUAAAAUUCCCAAAAAUAAAUGUUAAAGCCGACAAACUCUUCUCACACAAAUCCUAAGGCUUCUCCUUCUUCCCAAAUUCCUCUAUCUCUCUCUGUUUUUUUUUCUCUCUAUCUCUUUUGAAGAAUAUGAAUUCGGCAUCUUUCGAUGAAGUUGAGAUCUGCUGGAGCAAGAGAACCCAAACUUCCCGUCGAAGCUCCUUCCUCUUCGGGUAUGACAACCGAUGUUCCAGGCAAAACCACCAACGACGCUUCCGCUUCCCUCCGAUUCAAAUUCUGGAUCUGAGAUUGAUUACGACUCUGAGCGAGCUUGGUGGUGGUGGGUUUGAGACCAAAGAUUUCUCUAAUUAAUGGAAGCCAAGUAGUCACCCUCGGUGUAUCAAGAUCUUGGUUUCGGACUAUAUACCAAGUGUUCCCAUCUGUUGGAGCUUGUUGAAGAAUAAUAAAUCCUCAAUUGCUGAUUUUUGAUCCAAGUGACUCUUGGUUCCAAAUUCGUUUUGGUGGUCAUAGUCUUCUUUAGUCAUGGUUUGGUUCUAAGCGAUGUUCUUCACGAAGUGGUCAACAGAGCAGACGAUGGUGGAAUCACACCUCUUCAUAAUGAAUGUAGAGAUUCUCUAAUUGAAAAAAAUAAUUCUGUAGUUUUGUUUUCGCUUUGGCGCUUUGGUUAUCCAUUUUAGGUGCUGGGGGUAAACAACUCUCCAUUAUGCUUCAUGUGGUGGAAACACGCAGUGUUUUGUUUCAUUUGGAUCAUAUAUGAAUUCAUUUGGCAUUUGUUUUCACAGCUAUUGAUCGAUAAGGGGGCCUGUUUUAUCUGCCAUGAACUCCAACGAGUUUGUUCUUCUCUCUAUUUCUCCGCCUGUAAGAUGGCUGCAGGAUAGGAAGCCAAAAGCACAUCUGCUUUGAAGUCCCAGAUUGAAUAGCUACAACAGGAGAGGGAUGGAUUUCAGAGGAUGGUGAUUGGAAACCAGUUACUAUAAGGUGAUCUGCUGAUGGUAUGAGUGGAGAUCUAUUAGCCUUCUUCCGUUUCUUUAUGACUUGGUUUGGUGAAGAAAUGUACUUGCCUACUUUUUCUUUAUGACUUGGUGAUUCAAACAUUUGUAUUUUUUGGGUAUUUGAUAGAAUGAUUCUAUGUAAAAUAUAUGUUUUAUAAAUUUAAUGUAAGAUUAAUUUUAUUUAUGAAUCAAUUUGCAAUU